GGUUGCAGGUGGAUAGAUGAUUCGAGAAGGUUGCGGAUGGAUAGAGAAGAGUGAGAAUUUUGUGGAUGGAUGAUUCAAAAUAUUUGAUAUUUUGAUGGCAAAUGCAUCUGUCAUGGAUCCCUCGAUCCUUCCGCAUGGCGAUCACUAGAGUUUUUCCGGUACUAGGCUCUGUAAAAAAUAUAUAAUCUACGCAAUAAUAAUAACUUGCCCUCCAAGUCUUCAAAUUGGCUCAAUUUGCAAGUUCACAGAUUUGGUUGCUGAAAUCCUGGUGGUCGUUUCGAAUCUUGCAAGAUCCACGGCUUAAGGGAAUCAAUCCGGCCAGUUUUUCUCUAGGCAUGACUGGACGUGGUGAAAACCGAACAUUUAUUUUCAAAGUUGGCUUAAGUUUUGGGGAAAAUUGAUGCAACUGGCAGCUGCAUGGCUAAUUUUAGGGGCAAAUUGUAGGAGCAGUAAUAUGGUGUGGUUUUGCAAAUGCAGAGCGGUAUUGUCAUCUUGGAGCAGGCUUCCCCUUUCCCACGAUUUUGAUUACUACAUCAUCUUUGAGCAUCGAUUCCCAUUUUUGAGGGUAGCGAUAUCAUCUUGGAAGCAAGGCGACUCAUUUGGGACAUUUUGUAUGAGCUGUGGCAAUAGUUAUUUCAGUGUGGAUCAGAAACGGACCUGAACAUAAGAAACCCUCGAUUUGGAUCCUAUCUUCCUAAUUGGGCAUUGAGACUCACAUUUCAGUAAGGCACCUUCACCUAGCAUCAAGGCCAAUCAAGCUAGAGGUGGUUUGGAAGGGCUAUUGGUAGACCAUAUAAAUAUUUUAGUCUGGUCUGUCGGAAUUCGAACAAAACUAAUCAAGUCCGAGGCGAAUUCUGGCUGGAUUGAAGGUUUUGUUGAUUUGAUUUGCAUUUUGUUGUGUUGUGGCUCAUGGCGUCGUCGUCUCUAUUUCUAAUGGAUGACCAGUCCGAUGCAGAUUUUUUCGAUAAGCUUGUGGAUGAUGACGAUGAUUAUAAAGUUUCUAAUUCUGAAAAUUUGGAAAAUACUACUUCGACUAAUACUGCAGAAAUCGAGUGUGAUGCGGCUUUAUUGAUAGCACAAGUGAUGCAAUAUCGAAAUUGAAGUUGGAUGCAACAUAAAAUAAUAAAAAGGCAGUGUCUUUUAUUUCAGCAGAAGAAGUUUCAGGAUUAAAUAAGAUCUCGCCAAUCACAAGUGGGUCAACAACUAUAUGUGAUGAAAAUAAGCCUUCUGAUGGCGAGGGUUACAACAGGGAAGAUGCUCCAUCAGAAGGCUUCUCAUCGGAGCAGAAGCAGUUAUCCUUUGACAAUAUGGUAAAGGAGGAAGUGCUUAUGGAAUCUGCGGAAAAUGCAUUUGCUAAAUCUGGAGCUAAAGAAGAAGUGGACCAUUUGAUUAAUGACACUGACGAUGGGUAUCAGGAGGGCACAAAAUCUGCAGAAAAUGCAUUUGGUAAACCUGGAAAUAAUGAAGAAGCGGGCUUUUCGUUUAA